CUGAGAAUCACGCCUUCGAGAUUUGUGCUUCAUUUUUACUUCAAAUGGCAAAAGCACAAUCCAAAUGCAAACGUGUUUGGGGCGACUGAAUUAUUAGUUGAUUCCGUUGCUUGGUCAAGAUUUUAUUACGAGAGUAAUAGAAAUGAUUUUGGUCAGAAGUUUCUUUGCUUCAGGGUAAUGAAGAGAUAUAAGGAAACGGAGGAAGAGCUCAAGGGAACUAAAAGGCAGAAGAAUAAAGAAGUAAGGAGUGAGGGUAGAUGACAGCCUCCAAGGCAAUAACUAGGUAAGGCAUCAACCUGAAUUUGUAGCACCACAGCCUCCAAGGCAAUAACUAGGUACCAUAGCCUGACUGAACUCUUAGCAGUUUGGAUGACACACAUAGGGGCUAAUUAUCUCGGCAGUAUACUUAAAAAACUUUCAGACUCAAAACGCAAGCAACAAAGGUAUUCCCAGUUCCCCGCAUAUUCAUUUAUUUUUUCUGGUUUUGAGUUCUAUACAAGAUCACCUUGCAGUCUCAAAUGCACAGGAUGGCAGCACUUAAUUUCUUCAUGUUGACUGCCAGCAAGGUGUUCUAUGAAAUCCCAUGAUGAUACUCAUGUGAAUAAAAAGGCAGUUCCCCUUUUGCCAUUUCUGCUUUAGCAUGGAGGUUGUCCGCUAGGACUGAGAAGGGGAUGCUUGCUUGAACUCCUUUUGGAGGCGUUGAUGGGAAGCAUAUAAACCACAAGGUGGAGCAGGAGCUUCUCGCCUUCUCCGCGUCGUCGUUGACGGCAGGGACAUGUCAACUUCGACGAGUUCCCCUACCUUUUGUUCUUCAAAAGACCACGCCACUGGAGUUCAUGUUCAGUAGACCCUCAACCUGCUCGCUGCCAAUAUGCGGCGGCAAGGGAGAUGGUCUGUAGCUUUGUCACUCCCUCUCUAUUUUUUGUCAAUAUGCGGUGACAAGGGUGAAACUAGAUAAAUUGCGUGUAUGAAUGAAUUGAUUUUUUCAAUCAUAGAGCAAGAAUAGUUGAUAAUUUUGGUUACACUCUUUUGUUUAUUUUUUUCAGAGAGUGGUCCGGAGUAUCACGGUUCUGGUGAGAUACGAUCUCUAUUUUAAAUGUGUGAUACAUUAUGGAAAAACGUGUGUAAUGGCUUUCCUAUUUCUUGCACUCAACCAAAGUGAUUGGGUAUAGAUAAUUGUAAUUGGCCAGAUUGUGAAGGAGAAGAAUUCCAAUGUAUACAAGCUAGACCAAGGAGCUGUUGAUGAUACUUGAAGCUUGCGUCGACUCAAACUUGCUGAGUGUAAUUCGGUGUCUCUAAUUUUUGUUCGUUGAUUGAAGUUCAUUUAAUGUAAAGUAGUAUUAAUGAUGGCCAGAAAAUGGCUAUGAUAGAAACAUAAAUAAUGAGUGCUAGAAAAAUCACAAUUUGGGGGGUGCAAAUCAGGUGCUAUUGUCUUGAUUGUACAAAUAUGAUGGAGAGGAUGCCAUCAUAUAUUUUUUUAUGUAAAAAGAUACUUUGGGUUUGGGUCAGAAGUUAGCAAUUUUGGUACAAGUAUGGACAGAAAAAUACUUCUGAUC